rnacentral:lncRNA from 1 species
AUGAGAACUCAUCGUCAUUCCUGCAUUGGAGCGACGUUCCAGAAGUCUAAGCCCUGUUCUCAGAGACCACAUGCUCACACAGCUGUCCCAACCAUCCCACAGCCACCUGCCCUCCUCGGCAGCGCUAGCUCGCCAAAGAAGACGGCCCUGGUGUUCCGAGGCUUCCAUUUUCCACCUUUCCUUUUUCUGUUCUUCCAAGGAGCGCUUCGUUGUCUGAAGGCUAUCAAUCCAGCCUUUUCACUGACUCCUCUGGGAUGGAACCAACCUGCCCCUUGUUCACAUCCACGGUUUCUUGUCCCACAACUGGGGCACCCUCUCUCCAUGAGUCACUGCAUGAUUCUCUUUAUCUCCAUGCUACCCGAACGCAGAUGCUCUCCUUGGUGAGGGAUACAUCUCAAUUAGCUGCCUUUGAUUAGCAGUGAACACAUUCCUGCCAAGCCCUGACACAAACAGAAGCUGGCUACUCAGCAAUCCAAUUAUCAACAAAGCUUUAUCUAAUUAAAUCUAUUACUGAACGUCCCUUGUUCAAAACAAAAUGUAUUGAUUAAUUUUUUUUUUUACUCAAUCAAUUAAUAGGAAUAUACUAAGCAGGGCCAGCUAGGUAGCUCAGUGGAUGGAGGUUCUGGGUUCAGACACUUCCUGGUUAUGUGACCCUGGGCAAGUCACUUGACCCCCAUUGCCUAGCCCUUACCACUUUUCUGCCUUGGAACCAAUACACAGUAUUGAUUCCAAGAUGGAAGGUAAGGGUUUAAAAAAAAACAACUGAUACUUAGUGUUGAUUCUAAGAGAGAAGGUGGGGGAUUUUUUAAAAAGGGACUAUAUUAAGCACCUACUAUAUACCAGGCACUAUGCUAGGAGCCAGAGAGACAACACAAAAAUGGUAUAGUUCCUGCCCUCAGGAAGCUUACAUUCUAGUGAAUGGAAUUGCCUGCUUCCUCCUUCCCCAGCUUUCCCUCACAGUCUUCAGGCUUUGGGGAUGAGGGUAUCCCUGUUUCUAGGGGGGAAGGGACUCUGAAACCUUUUCUCCUCCAAGCCCUCAGUCUAUAGGGUAAUCCCGAGAGGAUCCAAGCUCUCCCUGAAUGCUUCAUCGGUUGCAUCCACAACUUUGUUUGUACAAAGUUUGUAGGUGGUCUCCUCCACUGGACUGUAAGCCCCCUGUGGCCUUUACUCUUCUUUGCAUCCCCAGUGCUUAGCACAGCAUGCCUGGCAUUCAGUAGGCACUUAAAUGUUUGUUGGCUUGACUUGAGCUGGGAUCCCAAGGGUCCAUCCUCUUUACUCCACCCCCUGCUAUCAUCCUCAGCUCCGGUUUGAAAAUGCUUUGUUGGGGUAUGAGACCACCUGGUUUGGCCUCUCUUCAAUUGGUCUCAGUUCCCCAUGUGUCUGUCUUGUCUA